GACGUAGGGGGCCAGCGUUGUUCGGAAUUACUGGGCGUAAAGGGCGCGUAGGCGGCCACCGCAAGUCGACUGUGAAAUCUCCGGGCUUAACCCGGAAAGGUCAGCCGAUACUGCGGGGCUAGAGUGCAGAAGGGGCAACUGGAAUUCUCGGUGUAGCGGUGAAAUGCGUAGAUAUCGAGAGGAACACCUGCGGCGAAGGCGGGUUGCUGGGCUGACACUGACGCUGAGGCGCGAAAGCUAGGGGGAGCGAACGGG
rnacentral:rRNA from 1 species